rnacentral:rRNA from 1 species
CCUGGCGGCAGUAGCGCGGUGGUCCCACCUGACCCCAUGCCGAACUCAGAAGUGAAACGCCGUAGCGCCGAUGGUAGUGUGGGGUCUCCCCAUGCGAGAGU